AUCUGAUCGUGAGAUGUCAGGUUGUAUUAAAGGGCGGAGCUCCAGAGAAAACUUCCUCUUUAAGCUGCUGCUUCAUUCACGGAGCGCUCCUGCUGUCCGCAGUCUGGCUGGCAGUCAGUCCGCUGCAUUUAAAGACCAAUUUUGGCUGCUAGAAAAGCCAUAUUCUCUUCAUAGCUAACCUUUGAGGGUCCUGCUGGUUUUUCCAUUCCAGCUGUUUUUGGACUUUGCCUUGGAGCAACUUUGACAGCGUGGUCUUUCCUUUUCCCGAACAAGCGUGCAAUUGCAGCAAGGUUCACUCUUUGGUAUUACACAACCCUCGGGAGGUUCGUUUCAGCCUCGUCGUGCACAAAGACAGCAGUGAUGAUCAUCAGGCUUGGCAGACUGACUCCUGGAUACUUCCGUCUCCUGCAGAGGCAGGUAGCAGGUGAAGUUCAGGCCCCAACGCACGACCGCUCCGUCAACCAGAUCGCCAUGAUGCUGGCCAUCAUGGGGCUCAGCCUGUCAUAUUACAGUGCCAAACAAAUGACCGAGAAGGUUCGCCGCGAACCCGCCCCGUGAAGAUUGACUAAACUGAAGCCAAACUGCAGAUGUUCAGAUGUCAAAGAUUCAGAAUCUACCUUUCUAUAACCUCUAGGGAUCACACAACAUGGGACUUCCGCUGAGGGGUUCUCUUGCUUUAGUUUAGCUCUCAAUGGAUCUGGAAGGGGUUGUGGCCUGAGUUUAGAUAGUUGACUUGAUACAUGCAUCGGAGAGUUAGUCAUUUCAAAACCUGAGCUCCACAUGCAUCUGAAACUCCACUCUGAGCCAUAAUGAGUUUUAAAAAGGGAAGGACCUCUGUUUGAGAUGUACCAAGCAACUAUUGAAAGCAGGUCCAAUGCACAAGAGUAAAAUGCACAGAUAUUCCCCCGAAUGAUGCUAUUGAAGAACAACAGCGCUGCUCUACAAUACUACACUUGGUGUCAGACACUUUCUUUUCAUUAUAACUUAAGAAAAUAUCUUCUAAUUGGUCUUCAAACACUUUCGAUGUAAAUGUUGACUUUGUGUGCAAUCGCAUUAGUUUAAAGCAGUUUUGUUUUAAGUGCAACAAAUUUGUAAUGUUAUUUCUAAUGCUUUUUUAUGAUAAUGUGAUUAAAAUGAAUGUACUGUAUGUUUUAUUUUUAAGACGCCACGAUCAAAUAAAGCUGUGACUAUUUUGAACACGAUCAAGUCGUGACUCAAGAAGAGUUAGAAGAAAGUUAUGAAAUUUGGCCAACUCAUUCCUGAGUCGAGUUUUACACGAAACCAUAUGAAAGAUUUUCCUGUCGACAGAAGCGUGCUGUUGAACAGGAAGUGGGCACAGCCUCAGGCAACAGCUUCCUCUAUCUGCACGCAAUAUUUGUCUACCAGCGUGCUGCAGCUGGCUUUAUGUCUGAACCACUUACCAAAUUCAAUAGACAUUAAUAGAACAUUUGCACACCAAGUAACUGGAGGUGUGUCUUCUGUGUGGAUCCCCUGAUAUGUGAAGCAAUUUAGAA